AGGUUGGGAUACUUACUACGGCGAGUGAGCGGUAAAAGCUCAAAUUUGAAAUCUGGUACUUUCAGUGCCCGAGUUGUAAUUUGUAGAAUUUGUCUUUGAUUAGGUCCUUGUCUAUGUUCCUUGGAACAGGACGUCAUAGAGGGUGAGAAUCCCGUUUGGCGAGGAUACCUUUUCUCUGUAAGACUUUUUCGAAGAGUCGAGUUGUUUGGGAAUGCAGCUCAAAGUGGGUGGUAAAUUCCAUCUAAAGCUAAAUAUUGGCGAGAGACCGAUAGCGAACAAGUACAGUGAUGGAAAGAUGAAAAGAACUUUGAAAAGAGAGUGAAAAAGUACGUGAAAUUGUUGAAAGGGAAGGGCAUUUGAUCAGACAUGGUGUUUUUUGCAUGCACUCGCCUCUCGUGGGCUUGGGCCUCUCAAAAAUUUCACUGGGCCAACAUCAAUUCUGGCAGUAGGAUAAAUCAUUAAGAAUGUAGCUACCUCGGUAGUGUUAUAGCUUAUUGGAAUACUGCUAGCUGGGAUUGAGGACUGCGCUUCGGCAAGGAUGUUGGCAUAAUGGUUAAAUGCCGCCCGUCUUGAACCACGGACCA
rnacentral:rRNA from 1 species